rnacentral:rRNA from 1 species
GAUGAACGCUGGCGGCGUGCCUAAUACAUGCAAGUCGAGCGAAGCGGGGACGGGUGAGUAACACGUGGAUAACCUCCUAUAAGACUGGGAUAACUUCGGGAAACCGGAGCUAAACCGGAUACUCAUGGAUGGAUCCGCGCUGCAUUAGCUAGUUGGUAAGGUAACGGCUUACCAAGGCCACGAUGCAUAGCCGACCUGAGCGGGUGAUCGGCCACACGGGAGCUGAGACACGGACCAGACUCCUGCGGUAGGCAGCAGUAGGGAAUCUUCCGCAAUGGGCGAAAGCCUGACGGAGCAACGCCGCGUGAGUGAUGAAGGUCUUCGGAUCGUGAACCUCUGUUAUUAGGGAAGCGGUACCUAAUCAGAAAGCCACGGCUAACUACGUGCCAGCCGCCGCGGUAAUUC